rnacentral:rRNA from 1 species
UGGGGAAUUUUGGACAAUGGGCGAAAGCCUGAUCCAGCAAUGCCGCGUGUGUGAAGAAGGCCUUCGGGUUGUAAAGCACUUUUGUCCGGAAAGAAAUCCUUGGCUCUAAUACAGUCGGGGGAUGACGGUACCGGAAGAAUAAGCACCGGCUAACUACGUGCCAGCAGCCGCGGUGAUACGUAGGGUGCAAGCGUUAAUCGGAAUUACUGGGCGUAAAGCGUGCGCAGGCGGUUUGCUAAGACCGAUGUGAAAUCCCCGGGCUCAACCUGGGAACUGCAUUGGUGACUGGCAGGCUAGAGUAUGGCAGAGGGGGGUAGAAUUCCACGUGUAGCAGUGAAAUGCGUAGAGAUGUGGAGGAAUACCGAUGGCGAAGGCAGCCCCCUGGGCCAAUACUGACGCUCAUGCACGAAAGCGUGGGGAGCAAACAGGAUUAGAUACCCUGGUAGUCCACGCCCUAAACGAUGUCAACUAGUUGUUGGGGAUUCAUUUCCUUAGUAACGUAGCUAACGCGUGAAGUUGACCGCCUGGGGAGUACGGUCGCAAGAUUAAAACUCAAAUGAAUUGACGGGGUCAUAGCUGUUUCCU